rnacentral:rRNA from 1 species
UGUAGUCAUAUGCUUGUCUCAAAGAUUAAGCCAUGCAUGUCUAAGUAUAAGCAAUUAUACCGUGAAACUGCGAAUGGCUCAUUAAAUCAGUUAUCGUUUAUUUGAUAGUACCUUACUACUUGGAUAACCGUGGUAAUUCUAGAGCUAAUACAUGCUGAAAACCCCAGCUUCGGGAGGGGUGUAUUUAUUAGAUAAAAAACCAACGCCCUUCGGGGCUUCUUGGUGAUUCAUGAUAACUUCACGGAUCGCAUGGCCUUGCGCCGGCGACGGUUCAUUCAAAUUUCUGCCCUAUCAACUUUCGAUGGUAAGGUAUUGGCUUACCAUGGUUUCAACGGGUAACGGGGAAUUAGGGUUCGAUUCCGGAGAGGGAGCCUGAGAAACGGCUACCACAUCCAAGGAAGGCAGCAGGCGCGCAAAUUACCCAAUCCCGACACGGGGAGGUAGUGACAAUAAAUACUGAUACAGGGCUCUUUUGGGUCUUGUAAUUGGAAUGAGUACAAUUUAAACCUCUUAACGAGGAACAAUUGGAGGGCAAGUCUGGUAAUCG